CACAUGCAAGUCGCACGAGAAAGCAGGAGCAAUCCUGUGAGUACAGUGGCGUACGGGUGAGUAACACGUGGGUAAUCUACCCUUUAGUGGGGAAUAACGCUGGGAAACCGGCGCUAAUACCGCAUAAGCUCGAGAGAGGAAAGCAGCAAUGCGCUGAAGGAGGAGCCCGCGGCCGAUUAGCUGGUUGGCAGGGUAAAAGCCUACCAAGGCAUAGAUCGGUAGCCGGCCUGAGAGGGCACACGGCCACACUGGCACUGAAACACGGGCCAGACUCCUACGGGAGGCAGCAGUGGGGAAUCUUGCACAAUGGGGGAAACCCUGAUGCAGCGACGCCGCGUGAGCGAUGAAGCCCUUCGGGGUGUAAAGCUCUUUCGUCAGGGACGAUAAUGACGGUACCUGGAGAAGCAGCUGCGGCUAACUACGUGCCAGCAGCCGCGGUAAUACGUAGGCAGCGAGCGUUGUUCGGAGUUACUGGGCGUAAAGGGUGUGUAGGCGGUUUUCUAAGUUUGGUGUGAAAUCUCCCGGCUCAACCGGGAGGGUGCGCCGAAAACUGGGAGACUAGAGUGCGGGAUGGGAGAGUAGAAUUCCUGGUGUAGCGGUGAAAUGCGUAGAUAUCAGGAGGAAUACCGGUGGUGUAGACGGCUCUCUGGACCGCCACUGACGCUGAGACACGAAAGCGUGGGUAGCAAACAGGAUUAGAUACCCUGGUAGUCCACGCCCUAAACGAUGCAUAUUUGGUGUAGGUCAUUCAGUUGAUCUGUGCCGGAGCUAACGCGUUAAAUAUGCCGCCUGGGGAAGACAGU
rnacentral:rRNA from 1 species